rnacentral:lncRNA from 1 species
GUACAGGGCCGAGAGCACAGGAGGGACAGGGCUGGUCGGAUGUGGGGCAUGAGGGAGUGGUGGACGACUGUGACUUCGUGGCCAUGGGCCGAGUAAAGGAUUUUGAUAAAGCGGGACUGAAGGCCAGGAGAGGGCGAUGGUUCAGUAAGGGCAAGGAUGACUUGCGGUUUUGAAAACUGAGUUUUGAGGGCACUUGUGGCACCUCCACUUACCAGUAGCCAGCAGGCUGUUGGAUAUGAGUCUGAAGCUGGGGAUUGAUGUCUGGGCUAGAAAUACUGAUUUGGAGUCCUUAGCAUUUAUGUGGCUUGAAAUCACACAGGUUAGAUGAGCUCUCUCAGGAGGAAUGUCAAGAGUACAGACACUGGUCUGGGGAUACCCCCAUGGAAGGGGGAGGUGCAGGCCUGAGAAAAAGAGGAGAGCGGACAUUCAGGGCCUUUCCAAAAGGGAGGCUGGAUCACCAGGGGGCAGCUGCAGAGGUGGGAGGUGGCGGGGAGCAAGGAAAAGCAAAGCAUCAAGCUGCCCAGGACUUGGAGAAGGUGGGGCGGUGGGUGGGGGCUCCCGAUAAACACAGAGUCAGGAAAGGGAGCUUGCUUGGGCAAGACGGGAGAUGAUUCAGUUUGGGGGAGUUGUUUUGGAUCGCGUUUCACAGGCAGCUGGAAUUUAAAGUUGUGGCGCUCAAGGAACAGUUGGUUUACAGGUAGGGAUGUGAGAGUCAUUUGCCGAGAGACUGACUAGAUAAAACCUUGGGGAAAGUCGUUUAGGGGCGGGAGGCUAGAACUGGCCAAAUAACAAUGAAGGUAGGGAUUUGAUGUAGUUCAUGGAGGCCAAACCUAUAGGCACGUGGGUGCCGUUCCUGGGAAAUCUGCCUCCCUCCUGGUACACCAUGUGUGGACUCCGGUGAGGUCCUGGGAGGGAAGGCUGCUGUAGAAGUGGCCCAGCUAGAGAAUUACGCCAGCCCCCUUCCGCCUCCCCCGAAUUGUUUAUUCAUUUUAAUCAUCCUUUUUCUUAAUCCGCAUCAGCUGGGUCAGUGUAAGAUUCAGCCGUGGAAAACAAUUUGAAGUCUCUUCCUCCUUGGGCGUUUGGAAUUUAAAAUGGAUUUUCACAGGAGCUAAGUCAUGUGAGCUGGAGAGUGUGGAAACCUGCUUCUUUCGGAACCUGAAACCUACCUCCAUUGCCUGUGGCAAGAUUAAUCCGGUGGCGUCCACUCACUUGCCAAAGGCUCUCAAAUACAAAGGAAAUGAACGCGAAGUAACGCAGAGACAGCGUCGCUGGGACUUGUGCAGCGCUGGGAGACGUGCCAACUGGGAGACUUGACACCUUCACGUGCCUGACCCGGAGGCUCCCGCUAUCCCUGCAGGACUGGCUGGCACUGCAUGUUGCCCUCGGUGAGUGAAUGAGGGCAGCGGGGCUGUGGCAGAGUGGGACCUGGCACAUCCUUGGUCAAAGUGCACUUGGGCUUGGAGACACAUUUCUCUGAAGCCCCUGGGGCCCUUUACCCUCUUCUCCUCCACUCAGACGUGGCAGGGAGAAUGAGAGCGAGCUUCUGGCCCAGUAGCUUUUCAAUGAAAAGUUUAUUAGAAGGGCACUUACAGGGGAGAGAGGACACAGUUCUUUAACAAUAGGGGUACAAUGCUUAAACAGGUGCUCUGCUCUUAAGAUAAAGUUAGAAAAAUCUAAAACUAUAAUACAUACAUGCUUUUUACAAAGGUAUUAAAAGGUCAGGCUGGCUGAGAAGGGAAGGUAAUCAACAUCCUCCGCGUUUUUUCCCCCACCCAAACGCACACCCAAACCAGGAGUCCUGCCCAGAACAGCCUAGUUGCAACAGCAGCACUGAGGGUGAAUGAAGGCUUCCGGGAGGAAGAUGGCUCCAUCCCUCUGUACAGUUCUCACCCCUAGGAAGGGAGAGGGGCUUGGUUCAGAGGCCCCCACGUAAGGGCCUGUAUUCGACUGAGCUGCCUGUGUCACAUGCUGCCACGUGGGGAGCCAGCCUGGGUCAGUCGUCCCAGGUGCUGAGCCCAAAAGCCACUGCACCCUCUACCAGCGUUUGGAACUGGCUGUGCCCCGUCUCUUCCCAGCCGCUGUCCUUGGGAGGAGAGCCUUUUCCAACUUUCUUCAAAAAAUUAAAUAGCUAUCUAUCUGUCUUGAAUGGUUUUAAGAAAUUAUUACAUAAAUAUAAAAACACCAG